GGCUGUCGGCCCCAGAGCCAAGGCCGCCUCGCUCGCCCUAGCCCUCGCCCUCGCCCACCGGGGAACGCCAAGCCCCCCUGCACCGCCCGCCCGCACCCGCCGCCCGCGCCCUCCUCGCUCGGCCCUGGACCGACACUUUGCAGCUGGGGACUGGUGCAUUGUGUCAAACAUGCUGCCCGAAUGGAGUGGGCACCUGCUGAAUGCCAGGCUUUGGGCUGGUCUUGGAUGCAGACGUUUUGAAAACCACCCAAGGCCGGACGCCCCAACAAGAGGCGGCGGCUCAGGUCAGGGCGCCCGGGGCAGGGACGGUCCCGCGGGGAGGCGGAGAGGGAGGGGAGGGAGCGGGAGGAAAGAGCGUUUCCAGGCAGAAUGAGGAGCCGCAAGCUUCUGGGAGCAAAGGCGCGAUCACACCGGCGGCCCCGCAUUCCUGCGUGACUCUGCGGCCGGCGCGCGGGCCAGGGACCGGCGGGGGCGCCCGCAUCUCCAUCUGCGAAGUUAGCCUCCCUGGCAGCCGCGACGCGCAGGCGCGCGCGCAUGCUCACACUGCUGGCUUAGUCUGAUUUCCUUGAAGUAGCCUCCCUGACCCGCGUUUCUGGGGUGAGACACUGGAACUUGCUGCAUCCACGUCAGGAGUUAGCCACCUGUGAAGGGAAGAGAAAGUGUCCUCUCUGUGCCAUCACCACUGGCCGGGCGUCAGCAAUCGGCACGAGCAUCUGAGCAUCCGCCUGCCUCGAGGUAGUUCGGCCUGGACAUCUGAAGCGCGUUAGCUGCUUGCUCCCCGGGGGCUGACCCUGCUUGUUGAGAAUUAUCCCAGGCAGAGCCACAGAGGAUGGAGCAAACAAAGACCAGGUAAUUUGUGGAUACCGUCCCAAUAGAACUUUUCCUGUUUUGAGAUAAACUAUUCAGAGACCCAAUUUUCCACUUCUUCAAACGUUUUGAAGUGCUGCUCAGAAAGUGGGUGUGCCAUCGAUAGGAACAAGUGGUAAUCUGAAGGAGCAAGGUCUGGUGAAUACGGCAGGCUCCUACCAGUUCAGACUCUGUGAUCCACCACAAUGAUAUUCACGUUGUGAUCACUCAUCAGGAAGUCCAACUUGAGCCUUCCUGCAAGCCCACCGCUAGCACAGAGACUGUCCCAGGAGCUGGGGUGUAGCAGUGAGCGAAGCUGAUGAGCACAGAGCCUGGGGAAGAGACCGGAAGGGAAGGCCUCUCCCUGCAGGAGCUCCGAGCCUGUGGGAGAAAUCAGAAGUGCACGCUGUACUCACGAGGUUAUUUUCUUCAAGACCAGCUCCUUCCAUUCCUUGUAUAGAAAGAACAACAACAACAACAACAAAAUACAAGGGUGGCCCACAACUAUGGGGCCCUGCAGGGAGCUCCUGGCGUUGAUGGAUUCAUGUAUGCAUGGGGGCCCUUGGCUGGGUGUUCAGGAUACAAUAGUGGGCGAGUCAGACCCAGCCCUCCCCUUAGGAAGAAAGACAGACUUCAGAGCAAUCAAACACACCAUGAAGAGUUCAUUUUCAUCAUCGUGAUUGUGAUCCGUGCAGAGGAGGAAAAGCACACAAUGUAAUGAAUGGCUUAACAAGAAUGAAGAACGCUGGCGAGGCUUGAGGAGCUCAGGAUGGCGAUCCCUUUUCCAGAACUGGAACCAGAGGCCUUGGGAAAUGGCCCCAGGAAGGACCGACUGGUCCGUCAGCGCAGCUGUCAGAUGCCGGCACCCGAGCUGCACACCCAGUGGUGCCCGCCCGGGCUCCAGACGAGACAGAAAUGGGACUUCCCUCUGAGCCGUGGCUUCCUCCUCUGUUACACUAGGUGUGUUGGGGCUCUUUGUUGGACUUGCUGGGAGCUUUAGAAACCUGCCUUACCUGGCCCCGCGCGCCGCGCCGCAGGCACGCAGUAGGCUCGCAGCAGGCACGCUUGGUAAGCGCCAGCUACGGUUAGUAAGUCCCCGCUCUCUUUG